rnacentral:rRNA from 1 species
GAUGAACGCUAGCGGCAGGCCUAACACAUGCAAGUCGAGGGGUAGAAGGAGCUUGCUCCUUUGAGACCGGCGCACGGGUGCGUAACGCGUAUGCAAUCUACCUUGUACAGGGGAAUAGCCCAGAGAAAUUUGGAUUAAUGCCCCAUAGUAUAUAACCUUCGCAUGUUGGUUAUAUUAAAGUUCCAACGGUACAAGAUGAGCAUGCGUCCCAUUAGUUAGUUGGUAAGGUAACGGCUUACCAAGACGAUGAUGGGUAGGGGUCCUGAGAGGGAGAUCCCCCACACUGGUACUGAGACACGGACCAGACUCCUACGGGAGGCAGCAGUGAGGAAGAUUGGGCAAUGGUCGCAAGACUGAACCAGCCAUGCCGCGUGCAGGAAGACGGUCCUAUGGAUUGUAAACUGCUUUUAUACAGGAAGAAACCCUCCCACGUGUGGGAGCUUGACGGUACUGUAGGAAUAAGAAUCGGCUAACUCCGUG